GAAAAAACUAAAAUAAACCUAUCUGAAUCCGCAGUUCCGGUUGACAACAACUCUUUAACGACUCAGCAAAAUGAAGUUACUUCUGGUAUUUUUCUUGGGCGCACUUGUGUUUCAGUAUGUCUCUGCGGAAAUAAUUGGCGAUUGCUUUACGAGUAGAGUGCAUGAACUAUUAGUGGGCCACGAUCCUUAUGCGAGAAAACAUAACCUGUAUACGCGAAUUCAAAUGUGUGUCGAUGUGAUUAAGGACCAGCUGACUGCGGCUCAAAUUACCAGAAUUACCAAAAAUAUGAGCAUUCUUCGUAGAGUUGAUGAGGGAAAUUGUUGGUAUGGUCAAAAAUGCAACCGUUGGCUCAAUGAUGAAAAGAACGUAUUCAAGAUAAUUAAAUCUUCCAAAAAAAUACUAAAAUCGGCAAAAGAAUUGACUCCUGGUUGCCAGGGAAUUGUAGCUGAUAUUGAAGAUCUGGAAUCAACUUGCGAUAUCAUGUUAAAAGAACAACCAGCUGAAUGAUAAGUGUAUAAUAGAAAAUACCAUCAUGUA